rnacentral:lncRNA from 1 species
AGAAAUAUUAUAAUAUUAAAAUAAAGAGGAGAGAGAAAGUGAAAAAUGGAAAUGGGGGAAAGGAGAAGAUGGUUCGGAGGAAGAAGAUGAAGAGGUGUGUGGGAGAGAUGCGAUUUCUGAAUGAGGGAAACCCUUGCUUAUAUAGGGAAAAAGGUAGCAGCCCAAACGGCCACAACCCACGUUCCAGCAGCCAUUGGUGGCGCGAUUUCAGGUUCCAACGGCACCAC